rnacentral:rRNA from 1 species
UCGUGUUGUGAAAUGUUGGGUUAAGUCCCGUAACGAGCGCAACCCUUAUCCUUAUUUGCCAGCGGUUAUCCGGGAACUCUAAGGAGACUGCCGGUGACAAACCGGAGGAAGGUGGGGACGACGUCAAGUCAUCAUGGCCCUUACGAUGGGCUACACACGUGCUACAAUGGCCGGUACAGAGGGCUGCAAUCUCGCGAGAGGGAGCUAAUCUCACAAAACCGGUCGUAGUCCGGAUCGGAGUCUGCACUCGACUCCGUGAAGUUGGAAUCGCUAGUAAUCGUGGAUCAGAAUGCCACGGUGAAUACGUUCCCGGGCCUUGUACACACCGCCC